GUACCGCUAGCUCAGCUGGAUAGAGCGUCUGGCUACGGACCAGAAGGUCGAGGGUUCGAAUCCUUUGCGGUACGCCA
rnacentral:tRNA from 1 species